rnacentral:sRNA from 1 species
AGAUCUGAACCUGAUUUGUGUGCGCACCGCGUCUCCAACGAUCCCGGAUCCACUGCGCUGCCAGGGGCCUGGGGGUAUACCCGAAAUCUUGUGGAUCAAGGAAAUGGAAAAUUUAAUCUGAUGAUUCUCUGUUGGGGUGAAGGACAUGGCAGCAGUAUUCAUGAUCAUACCAACUCCCACUGCUUUCUGAAGAUGCUACAGGGAAAUCUAAAGGAGACAUUAUUUGCCUGGCCUGACAAAAAAUCCAAUGAGAUGGUCAAGAAGUCUGAAAGAGUCUUGAGGGAAAACCAGUGUGCCUACAUCAAUGAUGCAGGAGUAGGGGUGGAGAUGGAUAGUGAUCAGGGGGAAGGAUGUUGCAAGUACAAGGAAGAGCACAAGUGAAGAUUCCAUUGGCUUACAUCGAGUAGAGAACAUCAGCCAUACGGAACCUGCUGUGAGCCUUCACUUGUACAGUCCACCUUUUGAUACAUGCCAUGCCUUUGAUCAAAGAACAGGACAUAAAAACAAAGUCACAAUGACAUUCCAUAGUAAAUUUGGAAUCAGAACUCCAAAUGCAACUUCGGGCUCGCUGGAGAACAACUAAGGGGCACCAAACCCUCUGAGGUUUUACUUUAAGGUUCGCUGUAUGUUUGCCUUGGACAAAAAGGCUACCUACCACGUGCUAUCCAGUAAUAUACUUAAAUAAGCCAAUACUUAGAUCUACUGUAAGGCAGAUGCUAAUUAUAAGGCAUUAAGUAAGCAAAUAGUGCCCU